GGCGCCCCACCCCAUUCCGAUUCUGCCCGCCUCCAACUCACCGAAAAAUCGGCUAGUUCACUCAACGAGUCCCAUGGUCCCCCCCUCUACUCCUCUCUCCUUCCUCCACGUGUCCGUAAUCAUGAAGAACACAUUUUCUCUUCAUCUUUUUUGAUUUUUUUUUGGGCAAAAACGAAAAAAUGAGAGGCGUAGGAUCGAGUUACACUCGAUCUACUCCAUCCAUUUGUCCUUAAUUGCCACAAAAAGGGAUAAAAUUCGAUUUUUUUGGAGAAGAUUUUUAGUUUUCUUGGAGAGGAAGGAAGGAGAAGCUUCUAGGCUUCCUAUAUAUUUGGGAUUUUUGGACAAAAAGAGGGGAAAAAAGUUCUAGGAUUCUUUGGAUAAAAUUGGAGAAAAACUAGGGUUUUGAACUUCGUUUUCAUUUCAGUUCAGAAAAUAUAUACUUGGGGUUAUAUAUUUUUGCUUCAGAAGUUCGUUCUUUUUUGAAAAAUACAAAAAAAAUACAAAAAAAAAUAUUUUCAGUUUUGUUUCAUUUUCGAUCAUGGGAUUAGAUUGGAGCAUUUUGGGUUCUAAAAAUUCGUCCGCCAUUCAGUUUGCUUCAGGUCAGAGUCAUUUUCGUCGUUUGAGGUUCGGUUCGCUUCUUUUGUUCGUAGUUUGAUCGUCGUGACGAAUUUUGGUCACAACCGCUGCUUUGAUUCCUCCUCGUGUCACUAAGGAAGUUUUAUUAAUUAAAGUUCAACUUCAGGAUUACUGGUUAGAUGUCAUUUGGGAAUUUUCUAUUCUUAGCAAAUUAAGAGAUAAUAUACAUGAAUUGGGAUUAAUAUAGGGUUAUGGUGCGUAUCAAUGUUUUAAUUCAUUUUGUUUAUCUUUCCCUUUCCCUCCUAUAGUAAUUCUUGGUAUUCUAUGUCUGCCCGUUCAUUUGCUACAAAUAUUAUGUGUCUUUUGAAUAGUUACUUUUCUGAUGUUUCCCUUGUCUUUAUUUGUGUGGACAGAUGGAUAAAUUGCUUGAAAUGACUCAUGGGGUUUGGGUUUAAAUAGAUUAAAAGAAUUUGAGCAUGAAUUGAAUCCUGAUUUUAUUUAGUUCUCUUUUAUUUAUUGCAUUUUUAACAUAUUAUCUUUAGGAGCAUGUUUAGGCCGACCACACCUGGGUAGGCAUUCUUUAGGAUUUGUUCCUUCGAGGUGAGAGGUCGUCCCUUUUAGUUAGUUAAUUCAUCAGGGGAAUGCCCCGUAGAGUUUGUAUAUAUAUUUUUUGUGUUCUUUUAUCAGGGGUAUACCCCUAAGUGGAUGUAAUUGAAGGCCGUGACGGACAUAGUAGAGUGAGCAUAGUAUAGGCUUUAUUAUUUUCUUAUUUUAUUUAAUCUUGGUGUGGACGACCUCGAGCCGCUUGUGUGUUUAUUUUUCUUUUUCUGUGUUUUUCACCUCAAUUUGAAAUUUCAAAAGCCAACUUGAUCGA